rnacentral:miRNA from 1 species
UACGCAUGUAUAUGUAUGCAUG